rnacentral:rRNA from 1 species
AGCAGCCGCGGUAAUUCCAGCUCCAAUAGCGUAUAUUAAAGUUGUUGCAGUCAAAAAGCUCGUAGUUGAAUUUCGGGAUCGAAUUGUUGGUCGUGCUUCGGUACGCACUGGCAUUAUCGGUUCCUACCUUCUGAAGAACCGCGAUGUCAUUAAUUUGGUGUCGUGGGGAAUCAGGACUGUUACUUUGAAAAAAUUAGAGUGUUUAAAGCAGGCUCACGCUUGAAUACAUUAGCAUGGAAUAAUGAAAUAGGACGUCUGAUUCUAUUUUGUUGGUUUCUAGGAUCGACGUAAUGAUUAAUAGGGAUAGUUGCGGGCAUUAGUAUUCAAUUGUCAGAGGUGAAAUUCUCGGAUUUAUUGAAGACUAACUACUGCGAAAGCAUUUGCCAAGGACGUUUUCAUUAAUCAAGAACGAAAGUUAGGGGAUCGAAGACGAUCAGAUACCGUCGUACGUCUCUAACCAUACAACUAUGCCGACUAGGGAUCGGAUGAUGUCAAUUUUAUAACUGCCUCA